rnacentral:rRNA from 1 species
UACGGAGGGUGCGAGCGUUGUCCGGAAUCACUGGGCGUAAAGGGCGCGUAGGCGGCCUGAUAAGUAGGGGGGUGAAAUCCUGCGGCUUAACCGCAGGGCUGCCUUCUAAACUGUCAGGCUCGAGCACAGUAGAGGCAGGUGGAAUUCCCGGUGUAGCGGUGGAAUGCGUAGAGAUCGGGAAGAACAUCGGUGGCGAAGGCG